GUACAUAGAUAUUGUUGUGACCUGAACCCCAGGUCCCCAAGAUAUAUCUUUCAAAAAUUGAUUUAUACCAUUAUUUGGAUCAUUUACCUAUAUAUUUUAACAAAAUUCAUAAGUUAACAUAACUUCAAAACAUUGUUUACCUACAUAGUGUUAGAAUAUUCUAAGGAGAAACUUACAAAUUGCUCGAACCACGUAUCAAAUCUCGUAUAUACAACAUCAUGACCAAAUUAACCCACAAAGUGAAUGUGACACAUCAAACAUUUUUAGUAGUUGCAUUGAGAUGUAAUCACAGUAAUUCAUGGCCAAAAAAAUUUUAGUAGUUGCAUUGAGAUGUAAUCACAGUAAAUUUUAUAUUUUGGUAACUACUAAAUCAAUACUUGAGAAAUGGUACUACUUCGGGACAAUUUAGCAACACAUGAAGUGUAGCUGACUUGAACUUCAUUUAACUCAAACUUCUCUUUUUACAAUCCUUAGAACAUCGGCCUAGUUGAUUGAAUAUGGACAUAGGCAGAUAUAAUGGAUCAUUCACUCAAAUUCCCUUUCUAUCAUUCUUAGAAUAUUGGCAUGGUUGAUUGAAUAUAGACAUAGGCGGACAUAAUGGAUCAUUCCUAAGGUCGACCGUGUUCCUGUUGGGCCUAUUCCUAGCUGUGACGACCCAAUGGGUCAUCACAUGUAUUCUUACUCAUUCUGUGCUCCAAGACCUUGAAAAUCUCAUUCAGGGUUUUCUCGAUUUGUGUGUGCGAUCCAGGCGCAUAGACGAAAAGCUUAAAUAUGAAUUCUGCGAGAAAAAUCAUGACUUUUGAUAUUAAUAUGAUUAAUAUUGACUUCGGUCAAUAUUUUGGGUAAAUAGACCCGGACCCGUGAUUUGACGGUCUCGGAGGGUCCAUAUGAACAUAUAGGACUUGGCCGCAUGCCCGGAAUCGAAUUUCGAGGUCCCAAGCCAGAGAAAUGAAUUUUUAUGUGAAAUUGUUUUCUGGAAUUAAUUAAGAGACAUGGAAAAGAAAUUUGAUCAGAAGACUAUGGUAUCAGGCUUGUAUGUUAGUUCUGACGCCCGGUACAAGUCUUAUAUGUGAUUUAAGUGCUUUUGAUAAAGUUUGAUUGAAAAGGGAUGUCAUUUGACGUAUUUUGGAGUUAAAAUGUAAAAAUUGGUGUUUCAUGAAAAAUUGAAAGAAAUCUUGAGUUUUGAGGAUUGAUUCUAUGUGUAUGAUGUUUUUCUGGCGAUUUUAUCGCACGAGUAAGUCUGUAUGAUGUUUUUGAGGUGGUGUGUAUGUUUGGUUUGGAACCCCGAGGGCUCGGGUGAGUUUCGAGUAGGUUCAUGGGUGCCUUAGUCCUAGAAGAUCAGAUAUUGCAGGUUCAAAAAAAAAUUGCCGGUCUCUGAACCCUCUAGCGCCGUCCGCGUGAAAACGUGUGCGGCCGCGGAGGGGCGAGCGCAGUCGUGGUUUCCUUUGAGCAGUCCGCAGUGGGUACUGUGCUGCCAUGGUUGGCCUGGUGUGGUCCGCACUGGGUAGUGAUCCGCAGGCCUUCAAAAAAUCCUGUGCGGCCACAGUUCUUCUUGCGCGGUCCACACGGGGAACUUCAGAUGGGUAUAAAUAAACGCGAAUUUAAGUUAUUUUACACUGUUCAAAUCCCCAAAAAAUAAGAGAUGAUUUUUCAAACAACUCUUCUUCUCCAAAACAUUUGGUAAGUGAUUUCUAAACUAUUUUCUUCACUCCUUAAUAUCUUUUAACAUGAUUUCAACUUCAAUGAAAGAUUUUCAUGAGGAAAUUAGGGGGUUUUGGGUAGAAACUAGGAUUUAUAUAAAUUGGGGAGUUAAACCUCAAUUUGAGGCCUGAUUUCAAAAUUAAUCAUAUAUUUGGAUUUGUGGGGAAAUGGGUAAUCGGAUUUUGGUCCGAACCUCGAGUGUCGACCACGUGGACCCCGGGUCAUUUUUGACCUUUUGGAUAAAGCCUUGUAAAACUUAUUUUCAUGCUUUGGGGUUGAUCUCAAUAGUAAUUAUUAAUGUAAUAAAGUGAUUUGUGACUAGAUUUGGGCGGUUUUGUGGUGGAAUCAAGGGAUAAAGCCAGACUUGAGGCUUGAAUUGAGUUUGAAGCAUCGAGGUAAGUGUUCGGUCUAACCUUAGCUUGAGGGAUUAGGAGUUGAGUCCUAUUUGCUACUUGUUUUAUAUGGAGUACGAUGUAUUGGCAUGGUGACGAGUAUCUAUACGUUUAUGUUUAGCAUGACCGUGAGUCGAUAAAUUGUGAAUAUUUGAGUCAUGAUGUAUAUUUCUUGCUUAAAGGUGAAUUCUACUUGUUGUGCAAUAAUUGUGGAAAGGAUUAUGAAUCAGAAUGUGAAAGAGCAUUGGCUCAUGCUAUGUGACGAAUUGAGGAGUUUAUGAAUUAUUAUACUUGUUGGAGCAUUUGAUCGAGUGGUAACGGAAAGGAUGUGUAGAAAAGAAAAGAAAGGAAAGAUCGUUAAUUGUACCCUUGCCGGGAUAUGAAAGUUAUUUAAUUUUUUGCUCCCUUGCCGGGAUUUAAUUAUUUACUUGAGUUUCCUUGCCGGGAUCUAUAUUAUUGUUGUCUAUUCCCUCGCCCCAUUGUUCUGAUUGUUGUUUGGGUGAGGAAGAGUGAUAAAGCACGAAGGAUGAUGCCGUGCAUGAUUUGUGAUGGAAAUAUGCUACUGUACGAAGGAACAUUCUGUGCCAUGAUAUGAAUAUUAAUGCACGAAGGAAAAUUGCGUGCCAUGAUAGGAAUACUAAUGCAUGAAGGAUCAUUCCGUGCCAUCAUAUAAGUGUUAAUGCACAAAGGUUCAUUCCGUGCCAUUAUUAUGUGAGGUAAAGCACGAAGGGUGAUGUCAUGUACUUUAUAUGAUUGGUUUGGUAAGAGCAAGAGUAAAAGAACGAAGGACGGUGCCGUGCAUCUGUUGGAUUUCUUACUAUCAUGGAUAUUGUUAUUGUACGGGUUCAUCCACUAUUUAUUGAUUCCAUAUCUGAACUGUUAUAGCCCCUACAGCAUGCUCCCCUCCCUCUUUGACUGGUUAAACUUUCCAUGUUCUAUUCUCUAUAUUGGACUGCACAGGUUUGAUUGGUAGUCCUGUUCUAGCCUCGUCAUUACCUAGCUGGGGUUAGGCCAGACACUUGCCAGCACAUGGGGUCGGUUGUGCUGAUGCUACACUUCCGUGCUCUUUUGCACCGAUUACGGUAUUGGAGCAGCUUUUGGACAACAACAGUAGAUUGGGAGUAGACCUUGUUGGCCCAAGUUUCAGUAAGUUUUGAAGAUUGACAAAUGAACUGAUGGAAGGAAUGGUCCAUCUUGUACUAGACAGUCUGAAUCAACCAGUGCACAUGCAGAACACGUGAGGAAGGUAACACACUAAAGACCACACAUCAAUAUCUUCUGAACAUAAUCGAAAAGGUCGCAUUUGAGAUAAGGAGGACAGUCUCCUUAUGUGAAGAGAACUUAAUCCAAAGUUAGGAUAAGAGUUAGAGUUUAUGUUGGCUAAGGACUCGAAUUGUGUACGGAUGAGAAGUGGAGUCUUAAUCAAACUCUAACUACUAACUCAAUAUACGAUUGUGUUAGUUUUCUUUUACUGGUAACACAUACAAUCAGAAGCAAAGCAUAUUUAAGAGCCAAAAGAGCAGGUCUGAUUUACAAGCAAUAUAUGCAAGUAUCAAGUGUGUACGCCUCCAACUACAUGAACCUAGAGAAGAACCAGUUCCAUCUGAGUGUUUAUUUCUAGUUCAAUUUUAGUAGGUUUUAUAUUGUACCUUUGAGCUUUCCUAGAAGCAAUUGUAUGAGGUACCUUGUGUCAUCAAGUUAGAGUUAACUUGAUAGUGUCGCAGCAGCUGAGGCUGUGUGCCACACUUGGAUUAGAGUUUAAUCCUUAGGUUUACAAAGAGUAUUUGUAAAUGCUGUUUUGGCUCAUUGAUUUCUAGUGGAGUUUGGGAAAAUCCUACUGAGUAGUAGGUCGUGGUUUUUUCACCUUUUGAGCCAGGUGUUUUCCACAUAAAAAUAUAUGUGCACUUUACUUUCAGUUUUUAUUAUUCCGCAAACUGCUGUAGUUAGAACACUUAGAAUAACCAGAUAGAAUAGCCUGCCAACCCUAGGAAACUCCAUCCUACUACAUGAUUUUUAAUUCAAAUGGAGGAAACAAGUAAACAUAUAAUUCUUUCAAAGGAAAUUUCUAAAAUUUCUUUUUUUUUAAGUUUAACAGUUAGCUUUCAUUGAUAUAAAAAAGGUUUACAAUGAAGAGUUCAUAGUAGUAGGAUGGACUACCCACUACUUUCCAGUUCAACACUAUACUAAUACAUGACUUUACACCUAAGGCUAAGGGUAAUGGUUAAGUUGUCGCAAUCCAGCUUGCCAAUGCUUACAGUUUCUGCCUCGAAUAUGAAUAAGCAAUGCAACCUCGCGACAGAACUGGUUCUCCUCUAAGGCUUUGCCUUCAAAUCUAAUAUAGUUUCUAUUUCUCCAAAUAAGUGCAACUGUGGUCACAAAGGUAGUAGCAGCAACAGCCUUAUGGCACAGUUUACUUCUAGCUUGACAGCAAAUCCAAUGAAGUUCAGCAUCCCAACUAUCUAUUUUUCUGUUAUAGCCAAGCCAACGACAUAUUCUAAGCCACAGUCGAUAAGUGACUGGGCAUUCAAAAAACAGAUGAGCAAAUUCUUCUACCUGUUGGUCACAGAGUACACAUUUCUCAGCUACAUUCACUCCAAUCUUCAGUAAUUUGUCGACAGUAGGCAGUCGACCAUGAGCAGCAAGCCAAGCAGUGAAUUUAUGCCGAGGCAGAACAUUAGAUGUCAACAGCAGAUUCUUCCAUUCCACCCUAGGAAAGAUAGGAAGCAUUACAUGGUAUAGUUUCUGAAUAUGGAACUUGCCUAACCUGCACAAUCCAUCCGGUCUAAGCAGGAGAUCACCUUGCAGUUGUUGAUUAUUCAGAAGAGGAGAUCUGCUCUCAUAACCUGCACAGUCCAUCCAGUCUAAGAAGGAGAUCAUCUUGCAGUUGUUGAUUAUUCAGAAGAGCAGAUCUGCUCUCUAUUAUCUUUCUAAUUACCCAAGAUGCUGCCUUGGGAAUGGGCAUUGUAGCAAUGUCACAGUUCAUAAUGUAAUAGUAGUGUAUCCACUUGAUCCAUAGACAAUCCUUCUUCCUAGCCAAAUCCUACAGGAUCUUAGUGAUAGCUGCCUUAUUCCAUACAUGCAUAUCUAUAAUGUUGAGUCCUCCAGCAGUGACAGGUCUACAGAUCCUCUCCCAUGCUACCAGAGCUCUUUUAGAUAUUGUUGCACUCCCAGUCCAUAAAUAAGAUCUGCAGACAGCUUCAAUGAUUUUCAGAACUUUCUUUGGCAAGAUGAAUAUUUGUGCCCAAUAAGUUUGAAUCCCAAAUAUCACAGUUUUGAUUAAUUGACUCCUUCCUGCAUAAGAUAAUAAUUUGGCAGACCAGCAAGUGAUUUUAUCAGUUAUCCUCUCUAUAAGUGGCAGAUAAUGGUGGAUGGCAAGCUUCUUGAGUGGAGAGGUAUCCCUAAGUAUUUGAAUUAAGGAAAGCAUCAUAGAGGAUAUGGAUAGAAAUAAUAUCUGCCCGACAGAAAAGGAGGAGAUUAUCAGCAAAACAAAUAUGGGCACAGUCAGCUUCCUGCAUCUUGGGUGGAAGUUGAAAUCUCCAUUUCUGUGUAACUGAGCCAACAGCCUAUUCAAGUAUUCCAUAGCCAGAACAAACAAUUAAGGUGACAUGGGAUCUCCUUGUCGAAUACCCCUUCUAGCAGUGAAAGGCUUUGUGAGACCACCAUUCAGCACUAGUGAGUAAGUCACAGAAGAGACACAAGUCAUUGUCCAAUUAACAAACUUAGCUGGAAAUUCUAGAUCAAUGAGUAAUUGUUUGAGGAAGCUCCAUUCAAGAGUGUCAUAUGCCUUCCUCAAAUCCACCUUCAUAACACAUCUAGGAGAUACACCUUUUCUGGAAUAUCCCUUGAAAAUUUCAUGGCUGAACAAGAUAUUAUCAAUUAUGCUCCUCCCUUCAAUAAAGGCUGACUGGGCUUUUCCAACAAGAUCACCAAUAACAGAUUUCAGCCUCCUAGUAAUGACUUUGGAUAUGAUCUUAUAGACAGUGGUGCAACAUGCAAUAGGUCUAUAAUCUUUCACUGUUUUAGGAGCUUUAACUUUAGGCACAAGGGCAAUGGCAGUAGUAUUGACCAUGUGAGGCAGUUUACAAGUAGGAAAGAAAUCUUUUGUAGCAGCAUAUACAUCCUCCUUGACAAUCUCCCAGUUGCUAGUAAAGAACUCCACAGGAAAACCAUCUACACCUGGUGCUUUGUCUUUAGGUAUAUCUUGGAUAGCUUCAGUGAUUUCUUCCAGAGUAACAUCCUGAAUAAGUGACCUUUGCUGUGAUUAGGUCAGACAGUGUCCUUCCUUAACAAUAGCAGUGUUAAUACAAGGCAAUUCAUCAGCACAUUCACCCAUUAAUGACUUGAAUACCUCAAUAAAUUCCUGCUCCACAGCCAAUGGAUCUGACAGCUUCAUACUUGCAUCAGUGUAUAUAGAAGUAAUAUUAUUCUGACUGGUUCUGAUCUUCCAUUGAUCAUGGAAAUAUUUUGUGUUUGCAUCUCCACAUUCUAUCCAACAAGCCUUUGAUUUCUGCCUCAUGGUACUUAUCCUCCACUGAGCAUGAAAAUAUUUAGUGUUGGCAUCUCCACAGUCAAUCCAGCAUGCCUUUGAUUUCUGCCUCAUGAUUUGUUCUCUACAUUGCUCCAUUUCUCAAUGUCAUUAAGAGCUGCUUUCUCCUCUUUAAACAGUUGUUCUGAAAAUGGACUAUGUAUCAGCUGAUUCUGUAUAAUAUCCAGUGAUUCUCUAGCAUGGAUUAGCCUCUGUUUGUAGGAAGCCAUAUGAAUGUUCAGUUCUUUUAAGUGCUGCUUCAAUUUCUUCAAUCUAUACCAUAUCUGUUGCAAAGGUGGUCCUUCACACUUCUGAUUCCAUACCUGCUGCAGAAUAGAAGUAAACUGGGGAUCCUCCAUAAUAGCAUUGUAGGAUCUGAAAGGUUUAGGAUGCAAUAGCUUUUGACUCCCAAACUUUAUGAGAAUAGGAGAGUGGUCAGAUACUGAGGGAUUAAGAAAAUCAGCUUCUAGAUGCCCAUACUGCUGAAGCCACUGAAAAUUACCAAGUGCCCAAUAAAUUUUGCUAUAGACCUGCUUAUUUGUCCAUGAAUACUUCCACCCUUUUGAUAUGAGGGAGGUCAAUUGGAGAUCAGAAAUGACCUUUUUAAACCCUCUAACUUCAGCAUCAGUGACAGGAGAGCCAAUCCUAUCAUCAGAGUACAACAUAGAAUUAAAAUCACCACUUAGCAACCAUGCAUCUUGACUGGGGGCAUUUACUAAUCUUAGGUCAUCCCACAACUGCUUCCUUAGGACUGCAGAAUUGUGAGCAUAAAUGACACUCAAUUGUAUUCUGAUUUUAUUCAAAGGAUCUUCUAACAGGCAAUGAAUAAAUUGCUGAAGCCACUGAAAAUUACCAAGUGCCCAAUCAAUUUUGCUAUAGACCUGCUUAUUUGUCCAUGAAUACUUCCACCCUUUUGAUAUGAGGGAGGUCAAUUGGAGAUCAGAAAUGACCUUUUUAAACCCUCUAACUUCAGCAUCAGUGACAGGAGAGCCAAUCCUAUCAUCAGAGUACAACAUAGAAUUAAAAUCACCACUUAGCAACCAUGCAUCUUGACUGGGGGCAUUUACUAAUCUUAGGUCAUCCCACAACUGCUUCCUUAGGACUGCAGAAUUGUGAGCAUAAAUGACACUCAAUUGUAUUCUGAUUUUAUUCAAACGAUCUUCUAACAGGCAAUGAAUAAAGUGGUCAGUCACACAGGAGAUAUGGAUCUGAAUGUGAGGUUUCCAGAUUAGCCAUAUCCUCCCAUUGACAGCAUUGGUAUAGUUGCAUCGGGUCUUCCACCCUUUGGCAAUCUAAUCAACAAUCCUCUGUGCUUUAUGUUCCUUAACUCUAGUUUUAAGACUUCUUAAGACAUCAACUUUAUUCCAGCCAGAAAGUUUUUCAGUUCUUUCUAAAAUUUCUUUUCAUUAUUAAAAAAUUGAUCUUGAUCCAAGAUGAGGCGGUAACAACUUCAGUAAGUUCAAGGCAGCAACAGAAGCAUGAGCAAAUCUUGCCGAGGCGACAACGUGAUCUAAUAGAAAUAAAUGUGCCGUUGCCGAAGGUCGAUAGCGCACCUAUAGAGGCAUAUAUAAAUAUGCCGAGGAGUUCAGCCCAUUCCAAAAUAAACACAUACCCGGCUCGCCAAUCAUGCAUGUGACGCAGGUACACAUAAGGAAUAAAUGCUCAAUCAAUAAAUUAAGAACUUAAAAGGGAACAUUUAUUCAGAUAACACCAAUUCUCCUUUAACAAUUUUUUUAUUGAAAUGAAGCUUAAUCCUUUUUGAAAUUCAUUUACUAAUUUAAUGCAAUUUAAGCAAUUCAAGUCAUCAAUGUGUUCACAAAUAAUCUAGGUAUAACAUGCUUUUGGUCCUAGACUACCCGGACAAUAGCGUAAUAGCAGCUAAGCACGGACUCUCAUCACCUCGUGCGUAUGUAGCCCUCACAAAUAGGAGCACUUAACCAAUUUAAAUCACAUAUGGGGUCAAUUCCCCCUCACAAGAUUAGAAAGGAGACUCACUUAGCUCGGAAGACUCAUAGCUGGUAUUCUACAUUCUUUCGGAGGCUCGAACCAACGCACAAUGAUCCAAAACUAGCCAAUGGUCAUACAAAUCCAUUAAAUAUGCCCUAUUAAACGUUACAACCCAAUUUGUAUCAAUUUCUAACCCCGAACAAAAAAUUGACAAAAAUGCCCUCGGGCCCACGUGUCUGGAAUCCAAAACAUUUCGAAGAUAAACUUUUCCCAUGACCUUAGGAACUCAAAUAUAUAAUUUUCUCUAAAUUCUAGACUCAAUAUCAUGGUUCAAUUCCAAGAAUAAAAUUUCUAGGUCUUUCUAACAAAGCCCGAAAAUAUUUCUAUAAAUUUCAUGCUUAAAUCCAUACAUAAUUGAUGUAUUUGACUCAUAAUAGGUGGGGAUACCUUACCUUGAUGUUGAUGAUGAAAAUCCCCUCUUGAAGCUCUCCAAAAUUGCCCAUAACAAGUGGAAAAUGGGAGAGAAAUGACCAUCUCCCGAUUUUAUAAUAACCUUCUGCCUUCAGGUAUUCUCGCACCUGCGGUCCCUUGACCGCUUCUGUGGUUCCGUAGGUGCGGUUAAAUUACCGCUUCUGCGGUCCUCCCUGGGCCUCCCUGUUUCACUUUUGCGACCAGCCUCCCGCAGAUGCGAUUCCGCUUCUGCGGAACUUUGAACGUAUCUAAAAUGCUCUCUUCCGCUUCUAUGCCUUCUUCCUUGCUUCUACGGGGCGACUUCUGCGGUCCCAUUUCCCCAGAAGUAGAAAUGCCAACAACCAGCAAGCUUCAGCCUUCCUAAAAAUCCAUUUUUGGUUUGUUAACCACCCGAGACCCCCGGGACCCUAACCAAUCAUAUUAACCAGUCCCAAAACACAUUACGGACCUACUACAACUUCCGGAAUCGGAUUCCGACCUUGAUAUUAGAAAUUACACUUCCGGUCAAACUUCUCAAAACCUUCAAAUUUCUAUCUUUAGCCAAAUGGUUUCAAAAUGACCUACGGACCUCCGAAUUCACUUUCGAUCGCGCUCCCAACUCCAGAAUCACCAUACGUAGCUACUCCUAGUAUCGGAAUCUCAAACGUACAUCAAUAACACUGAAAUACAUAUUAAGCCAAACUGAUGCAAUUUCUUUUAAAAUGCUAACUCCUCCCAACUCUAGAAUCACCAUACGAAGCUACUCCCAAUCUCAAAAUCCCAAACUGACAUCGAUAGCACUGAAAUGCACUUUGAACCAAACUCAAUAAAUUUCUUCCAAAAUGCUAACUUCCACAAUAGGCGUCAAAAUGCAUAUGGGUUACCCAAAACCUGAACCGGGCAGACGCCCAAGUCCAAAAUCAUCAUACGAACCUGCUGGAACCUUCAGAUAUCGAUUCUGAGGUCGUUUACUCACAAUUCCAAUCUUAGCCAUUUUCUCCAACUUAAGGCUUCUGAAAUGAGAAUUUUCAUUUAAAUUUAACUCCGAUCUUCCUGAAUUUCAAUUCCGACCAUACACACAAGUCAAUACACCUGAAAUGAAGCUGCUCAUGGCCUCAGACCACUGAACGAUACGCUAGAGCUCAAAACGAACGGUCGGGUCGUUACAUUCUCUCCCACUUAAACAUAUGUUCGUCCUCGAACAUGUUGAGAACUACACUUAAGUAGUCUGAAAUCACUGUUUAACACCUCAUGCACCGACCCGUGCUACCACAACUUAGUUGAGUACAUUUGCUCGAUAAUUUUACAUAUACACUCUUUUAUUCAUGCAAAUAAGCCGUAAAGCCCAAUUCCAACACCCAGAAUUUUCCUGCCAAGCCUGUUUCCAACAUGUGAUCACCACAUCAACCACUACACGCUGUACCUAAACACGACCGCAUAACUUUGCUGAAUUUACACUUUUGCAUCACUUUACUCUUAGGACCACAAUAACAUUUCUGAUCAAAUUAAUCAAAUUUCAGGAAUCUGAUGCUCCUAUUGCACCUAUGACCUACAUAGGUCUUGCUCUAACCUUUACAACAUUGACACGAUGGAAGAGAUGUGCCGAAAUUCAUACCUAAUUGCUGAGUUAACAAAUCAUUGGGUUUAUACCUCUGACAAGAGACAUUGCCUCUUCCUCAACCAUCUAAUGGUCUUAGCUCCUUAAUACACUUCAUAUAAUCAAAUUGCACUGGUCCUAAAUCCAAUAAUUUCAUCUCACUCAAUAUGAACAGCUCAGGCAAUAAGCCACCUCGGACACAAUCGAAAGUCCCAUAUGACGCUACCAUGUACCAAUAGGCUACCAAUUAGAAUAUGACACAAAAUUAAAAUGAACUCUAAAAAGGAGAUCUAAUUACCCCGCUCGCGAAUCAAACAUGCGACGCAUGCUAUAUGCUAAUAGGACACCCCACUCGUGAAUCAUACAUGCGAUGUGGGCUCACAACUAUAAUGAGCUUCCCUCGGAAAAUGGGAAACAAAACGCAUAAAGGCUAAUAGGGAAACUGUAUUGAUCAUUACACUGUUGGGGCAUGCAACCUGAUCCAAUCAACAUACCCAUGGAGGCGUGCGGCCAGAUCUACACAUAGAACUCACAUAAGGAGAAGUAUGUCGAGCUAAAUCGAUCAUUACAACAAAAUACCGAAUAUCGGUCAUAAACACACUAAGUGUAUAAUACCAUUCCUUAGGGAGACAUAUAACACUAAGUGCACAACUGAGGUGCGAUACAAGAUCUGAAUCUUAAGAGCCAUUCUACUCAUAUAACAUCAUCGCCAAGCGGAACCUCAACACAUAAAAAUUUACCAAGCCAUCUAAUAAUUCAUACGGCUCAAUACAUCAUUAUCUAAAAAAGCUGAUGACACAAUAACACCCCGACCGUUCCUUCAUUAGGAACACUCGCUGAACGAACACAGCUGGCCUGAUAUAAAGCCUUUUUCACAUGUAAAUCAAUCCACUGAUCUCAAGCCGAUUUCUGAUUGCACCAGCUUGGCUAAUAACCUUUUAAAGGUCCAUAGUAACUCCAUUUUCCUCAUAGCACAUAAGAACAACCAUCAUAACCGGAGCAACCUCCUCAGUUCAUAACCAAUAAACAAAGUGUCCAGGCUUAAAUUCUCAAAUUAAUGAUAUUACUAGAAUUCUCAUACUUGGUUUAAAUCUUUAGUCAAUCAAGUGACUACAUGUCACAUUUAUACAAUCUUUCCGUAGGACACGCUCCCACAAUUUUCCGAAAUAAAUAACGGGCCUGCACAUCUAAACCAUCGGCCGCACUAACGCUGAAAAGAGAUCAAGAAUCCUUAAUCAGGAUGAAAGGCCUCUUUCACAACACGUCUAUCUCAGGUGAUGCUGAAUACAAUACCAAUUUACUUUAAAUAUUCCACCCCUUUCUUGCUCAUUUGAGCUCGUGACAUCCUUACCUACAGCAAACUACAACCUCGAUCCUCACUUUGAAUAUCCAUGUUGCUCACUGCACGCAACGUGCUAACGUAUGAUAGAACACAAUUUUCAUUGCAACUCUGAAAACAUUAAUAUUUUAACACUUCAUCAUAUAAGAACGUUUCACUUAACUCAUUUCAGGAGAAUUAUAGCAACACACAGGUAAAUUCCCAUAACCGUAGGAAUUGCAAAUCUCUAAGUAGUGGUCCAAGUCACCAUAGCCUUUUCGGAAUCUGCUUCCUCUUAACAAGCUAUAACAGAAGAAUGAUUCUAAAUAACAUCAAUUAUGGCGGCCGAAAAGCCUCACACAUAUCGCCACAAGUCAUACACAUAACUUGAUCAUGCGGAAUGAACUGAUCACUGGCCCUAAUAUGCCAAUUCAACCAUGUCUAAUCAAUCUACCUUCUUCCAAUUUAUCCUUCCCUGCCUUAGAAAUAAUACUAACUCCAUUCAACACAUAACAUACUCCAUCUACACUUACGCCGAGUGACCUUGACUCACGAGACCAUGGUGUCUCAAAUACCAUGACUAUUUCAUAUCUGUUAAAUGCUACACCACAAGUCAAAAUAUCAUAGAAUAUUCUGGGCACCUUAUCAUAAGCUAUUACAAAUCUUGAUCCUUAGUUGUACUCAUAGUCUUGAAAUCAUUGGGCAUCACACUUUAUCCCUUGGGAUCUACUAGGACCGCUGUUGAGAGCCACCCGCUGUGACUUGGUCCCGAAUAUAAUCAACUCCAUGAAUCUUCAAGCACAUUAAUACCCUCUCCAUGGAGCACCUGGCAGAAUCACUCCCCUUUAAUCCCGCUUCUAUACAAGGAAUAAAUCCUGAAUCCUUCCCCUAAGAAUGAACAUGAGCCAAUAAGGUCGACCAUAGCAUGCACCCAACAAUUGAUCUACUCACAUUACCAUUUAUGGUCUUUUCCUGUAGCUGAAACAACCCAUCGAUAUGCAGACAAAUGGAAACCUCGCAAGUAGUUAACCAUGCAAACCAAUCUUAGGCGGUGAGACUCUCCCAUUUAGCUCGAAGCCAUUAUUUCACAACUCUAGAAUUCACAGGAUUCUUUAUCUCUUAGUGACACAAUCGGGUGCAAUCAGCCGCCAAAAUUCCCGAAAUCAUUCGGUAAACACCCCCUUUUCGAUAAUCUAAAUAAUCAACCACAUUUGCACGACCGUCCUCUUCACUGUAUAACUAACAAAAUUCUUUGCAGAAGCCUCGCCAACCACGCGACUGCUAACCUGCUCACAGGAAAUAACCCUCCGGUGGGAAUCACUUCCUGACAUCUUCCGAUGCUGCUGCACGAGAUACCAUUACUAUGAAAUGAAUAACCCAUCCUGAGUCCAAGCUUACUCUCUAGCUGUACCAGUCCAUUUUCCCCCGUGGACAUCAAUUAAAUGUGAGGUAAUAUCCUUCCAAUUCAAAGUUAUGCUGCAUCCUUCUUUAUUUCAUGAAGCUCCUUCCUGUUACACCAAAUCUCUGACCGCAUAAUGGCCCAACUUCAAUUAAAUCUUAGGUCCCAAUCACAAGUCUCUUAUGUUCCCAAAUCAUUAAAACUCUCCUUAAGGCGUGCAUUCAUCCUACUACCAAGACCAUAUGCAACAUCAGCCACUCUCCCACUUUGGGCAAACUCUGUUCUUUAAUCAACUACUUGACCUUUUCUUCAUACACUUGGCCUUCUCGGAAUUUUAGUCACUGGCUGACACUUUACUCACAUUUUUCCUCAUACUUUGCUGCUCAUUUGUUGCCUUAAAUAAACUCUACCGUCAUGGCACUUGAACCCACAAUAGCUGCUAACUUUAUGCCUUUCCAAAGGACAUCUUUAUCGAACCGCCAACAUUAGAAAUUAUGAUUCGAUCCUAAACCACUGCACCAUGCGAUAUCUGACAGCUGUAUCUCUAAUACUAUCUCCCCAUAUCUUGCCAUAAAGGCGAAUUGUAGCAGAUUAUAACAUCGAGGAACUUGGUACGCUCCAUUAGGGCCACGACUCCCCAUUAUAGAAGAAAGCUCUACUACGUUUUCAAAUACCAGGUCUCAUUAGUUCCAUCAGCCCAUAUCUGAACAUGCUUAGUACAUCUGCCUUUCACCUGCCGAGAAUAAAAUAUCGAAUUCCUUGAUUACACACUGAGUAAACCUCCCUUCAAAGUCAUUCACUGCCCCACAUGCAGGCAAUAUCCUACCAUCACAACAAUACUAUGAAAUAAUCACUCGUAAACAUCAUGGCAACCUGUGCCUUAGCCUCAGGGCUCUUAGAAGUUGUGUUACUGAGUUGAAACAAUAGAAUAUCCUUCUACUAGGCGACUAUAAUAGUUAGAUCGACUAUACUGGAAGAAUCAUCCCGCACAACAUUUGUAGCGCCAUUACAAUCCUUCAAUUUUUGAUUUAUAACAAGCGCUCGCGUAAGAUUGAGUAGGAAGAAAUCAAAGGCAUAAGCCUUAGAGGAAUCGAACCGCACGAUAAGAAAAUCAAGAAAGGAAGUACUCCUAAAAGCCCUAUAGCGUCCUGAGGAUAAGUACAGACAUCUCCGUAUUGAUCUGCAAGACUCUACUAGACUUGCUCAUGACUCGUGAGAUCGACAGGAACAUAGUGCUCUGAUACCAUUUUGUCACAACCCAAAAACCACUAAGGGUCAUGAUGGUGCCGGAUAUCGUUGUCAGGCAAGACAACUGGAAUACUUAAUUAAAUUCUUGUUUUUGUAAUUUCGAAAAUACUUCUUUAUUAUGAUUAAAGAAAUACUCAAUAUAUUCCUCCAAAUAAAUAAGGAAAUAUAAAAUCAACUUUAAAAAUUUCUGAAUAAAUCCAAACACAUUCACAUAACCCGGUGUCACAAGUACAUGAACAGUUUUCUAAGAGAAACCAUAUAGGUACAAUAACUGACGAAAUGCAAUGGGACAGAAAGUAAAUAAAAUGCUGAAAGAGACUAUAUUAGCUGCAAAAUCGCCUCGAAGAAAUACAACUCACCUAGUCUCUGCGCCCGCCAUGCCGCUAUGUCGCUAAGCCACGAGCUACACAAUAAGCCUGUGCAACAAAAAUGCACAGCAAGUGUAGUAUGAGUACAAAACAACGUGUACCCAAUGAGUAUCCCGCCUAAUCUCGAAAAUGUAGAGACGAGAUGGUCAACUUUGAUACUCACUAAUGGUCUAAUAAUUAUUUAUCCUUAAUAUAUAUAUAUAGAUGUAUAUAUAUAUACAUAUACAUAUAUACAUAUAUAUAUAUAUAUAUANNNNNNNNNNNNNNNNNNNNNNNNNNNNNNNNNNNNNNNNNNNNNNNNNNNNNNNNNNNNNNNNNNNNNNNNNNNNNNNNNNNNNNNNNNNNNNNNNNNNNNNNNNNNNNNNNNNNNNNNNNNNNNNNNNNNNNNNNNNNNNNNNNNNNNNNNNNNNNNNNNNNNNNNNNNNNNNNNNNNNNNNNNNNNNNNNNNNNNNNNNNNNNNNNNNNNNNNNNNNNNNNNNNNNNNNNNNNNNNNNNNNNNNNNNNNNNNNNNNNNNNNNNNNNNNNNNNNNNNNNNNNNNNNNNNNNNNNNNNNNNNNNNNNNNNNNNNNNNNNNNNNNNNNNNNNNNNNNNNNNNNNNNNNNNNNNNNNNNNNNNNNNNNNNNNNNNNNNNNNNNNNNNNNNNNNNNNNNNNNNNNNNNNNNNNNNNNNNNNNNNNNNNNNNNNNNNNNNNNNNNNNNNNNNNNNNNNNNNNNNNNNNNNNNNNNNNNNNNNNNNNNNNNNNNNNNNNNNNNNNNNNNNNNNNNNNNNNNNNNNNNNNNNNNNNNNNNNNNNNNNNNNNNNNNNNNNNNNNNNNNNNNNNNNNNNNNNNNNNNNNNNNNNNNNNNNNNNNNNNNNNNNNNNNNNNNNNNNNNNNNNNNNNNNNNNNNNNCUGAUGUAUAUAUGUAUAUGUAUAUAUAUGUAUAUAUGUAUAUGUAUAUAUAUGUAUACAUAUAUAACUGUGGAUUUAUUUUAUAAAUAUGAUUUUUAAACCAAAUGGAGGAAACAAGUAAACAUAUAAUUCUUGUCACACCUCCUUUUUCACUACACCUGCAAGGGCGUAAAGGCGUUUUUCCAAUUAAAGGACGAUCGAAAUAAGAUUCAAUUAUUAAUUAUUCAGAUUCACCACUUGGGAGAUUUAUAGUGUCCCAAGACACAGGUUUAAUCCCGAACCGAAGAAAGAUAUAACUCUAUAUUACAGUCCGCAAACCAGAAAUCCGAGAGAAGGUAUUAGGUAUUCCCAAGUUCUGUGGUUCUAGCACAGUCUCUUAACUGUUGUAUUUGAUUUUUAUCUGGUUUCAAAACAUGUUCUAGCUUAUGUGCCUCAUAUUUAUAAACCGCUUUUAUCAUUAUUUUAAAAAAAUUACAACGUCGAAAAAAUGCGUCUCGAACCACAUCGCAAUCAAUGCACCAUGGUUGUCAACAUUUUGACUCCAUUGAGACUUUGAUUUCGGUCAUAUAAAUGCGCACCCGAAAUUAAGAAUGUAGUUUUAUUUAAAUCGUGCUUAAAGAGUCUAACGUAUUAUUAUUUGGGGGAAGGCUGUGAAAUUCGCUAAACGACCCUCCCAAAUUCCUAAAAUUUAGUUAAGCAUUUGAAUGAGGUCCCUGCAAUUUGUACAUUUUAUUCGGCGAGGCUCGUCUCAACAAUUUAUUUAUAGCUAAAUCCUAAAGCAAACUACAAUUUUCUACUUAAAUCGUCUCUAAGAAAUAAGAAAAAAAACCUAAUUAACGGACAUUGUUUAAGCCAUCAUUGAAAGUCAUAAUAUUAAAUCAAAGCCGAAUUUUAACAGAUGAUGUAAUGGUUCUGGCGGACUAGCUUUAAGAUAGCCAAAAGGAAGAAAAAUGUGCAACCUCACUAGGGGAAAAGGCAUGCCUGAUGCUAGUCCCUAAGCAAGUUAAGGACUGGGUCUGGCAUAGGCACUAUGCCCAGACUAGUUAUUCAAAUUUUGCACAAUUAGUUUUUAAUUUACAACCCAAUAUGAUUUUGUUGUGGCUCAGCAAUACGUAGGGACAGUCCAAGAGACUAAUGCAAACUGGUUGAAACGGAAUGUGUGACCAUUCAAAUCUGUACAAUCGUUGAUUUUUUUACCUUAUUUUAAAUGACUUACGCAAUAUGAAUUUGAAAUCCCAACUUGUAGUUCACCAAUGAUGCUAUAUUAUGCCAAAUCACAACUCAAAAUUUCUCACAGAAUUAUGACUUCAUUAAUUGAGUCACAACUCUUCGUCAUUACCCAGACCUCACUGAUACUUGAAUUUAGAGUAUGAGGUGAAUAACAAUAAUCAAAAUGAGUUUUAAGACAUUGGUUACUUGUAUAUAACUAAACAAACCUAAGAUUAAACCAACGAAACAAAAUACAGGACUUUCAACUUUAACAGUUCGCAAUCCAAAGAAACGUAAAGAAGUUCUGAUUAUACAUGACCCUAUACUAUUGUUCAUGCAAUGUCGAUUAAGGCUAGCUAAAUUACUACAACAACUAGUUAACUACAAACUACAAACAGGAAGCAUUCUUCACACACAGAUCUCAUAAAUCUGAUGAAUAUCUUUAUUUUAACUCCAAUUCACAAGCACACCAUAGCGAGUUCAGAAAUGUGUGCCUGGGGAUCAAAAUUUAGCAGGAAGGAGAAGAAGCUAGCAUAGAAGCACAUACAACAGCGAUUGGAGUUUUCACACAGCAAUAACACAUCAAUUUUAACCCCAGGAAUGAAUCAGUAAUCCAGGAAGUAAACAGAACUGAGAGAUUGACCCACAACAGCACCCCAACAAAACAAGUAAACUCGAAAAUUCACCCAGAAGCACAUAAAACCUUCAUCCAACCAAAGCUCAAUCAAAAACCAAUUCAACCGGCCCCAAAAUCACUCAACAUCCUUCUGGUAAACCUAAAAUUGUGAGUUAAGGCAUUGGUAAUGCCUUUUUAUAGGCAAAAGAUAAGGGUAUCCCCCCAAAUUUCUGUUUUCAUUUUCAGUCUAUAGUUUAUUUCUGUUAGUCCCUUGUUUUCUGACUUACUUCUCAAGUAAGUACACCACAAUUACUUAAAUAUACACUUGAGCCAUAUUCUAGAAGAUUCUAGUGGAUUCUAUUCUAACAUACAACAUUCUAUCUGAUUAUUAGAUACCCAAACUGCCCUUGCAUACUUCUAAAAUUUCUUACUAAACUUUCUUCUAACUCAAGCACAGUCAAUUGGCUACCAAACUAAGAUUUAAUCAGCUAUAUCCAACCAGGUCCACAAACUUUAAGACUGAAUACCAAAACUAAAUCAAACGAAAACUUGAUCCUAAAUCAUACUUCACCAAGCCAUUAAUCAAACGAAAUUAACAAUCAAUAUUAACAUAGACAAAACAAAACAAACAAACACAGAAUCACCAACCAAUAAGGAAGAAACAAUCAGAAAAAGAACAGAAUAAACAGGACCGGAAAAUCAAAACAUGAAUCAAACACGAAUUAAAGUAACAUUAAGACUAUUGAAUUCAAACUAAUAACUACUAUUAUCAAAGCAUGAUCAAUAUAGAGGAAAGCUAAUCCGACUAAUUAACUGAACAAACAAUACAUCAAACCUAAACUCUAUAUCGACCAAACAAUCCUAAAUGAAUGAAACAAAAUUCAGAAUCCUAACUCGAACUAAUGCAAGAAGGAAAAGAAGGAAGUGGACGAAAGAUGAAGAAACUCACCAAUAAUAUGACUGCCUUCCUUAGAUUCCAAGCAUGAGUGCCCUCUAGUGAUAUUUGAACGCCAACAAUGAUAAAAACAUCAUGGGGAAGGCGGGGGGAUCACAUGAUACCGAUUUGGUGAGGUUUAGAGAAACUAGGGUUCACCGGAAAAUCUCAAAUCCAAAUCCGAACAGUUCUUGCGAGAUUUGAGGGAUAUGGCUUGAGUAUUUGGGAUGAGAAGGUUAAGGCGAGUCUAUUGUGUGAAUUUGGUCGGAUUUGGACAACUAUGUAUUUUGGGCGGAAUAUUUCGAUUCAAGAUUCGAUGGCUUGGGGUGGGAUUCGAGAAAAACCAAGUUGGGGGUUGGAAAAAGGAGAGAAAGAGGGUUCUAGGGUGUUAUUUUGGUAGUGUUUGGAGGUGGGCUGCCGGCGGAGACGAUUUCCGGCCGGCGGCGAUGGGUGGCAUUACACAAGGUCUGUGAGGGGUGGUUUGGGGAUNNN
rnacentral:lncRNA from 1 species